AGACGAUUUUGGUUACAACGACAUCGGGUAUCAUGGUUCUGAGAUAAAGACGCCGAAUUUAGACAAGCUUGCGGGAGAAGGCGUUAAGCUGGAGAAUUACUACGUGCAGCCGAUAUGUACACACACAAGAAGUCAACUCAUGUCUGGACGAUAUCAGAUACACACUGGUCUUCAGCACGGAGUCAUACGCCCUCCACAACCUAACGGUUUACCCCUAGACAGUGCAAUACUGCCACAGAAACUGAAGGAAGUGGGAUACUCAACACAUGCAGUAGGAAAAUGGCAUCUCGGGUUUUACAAGGAGGAGUAUCUGCCAACAAAUAGAGGAUUUGAUUCUCAUUUCGGAUACUUAACAGGAGCAGAAGACUACUUCAAACACGACCGCUGUUUUGGCGCCAUGUGUGGGACCGAUCUUCGUGACAACAUGAAUCCUGCUAAUUACACAGGAGUCUACUCUACACACUUGUUUGCCCAAAAAGCAGCAGAAGAAGUCAACAACCACAAUACAGACAAGGGAUGGUUUCGGCAAUGGACGAGGCGAUUGGGAACUUGACUGAUGUGUUUCAGAAAAGGGGGAUGUGGAAUAACACGCUGAUGGUAUUCUCAACUGACAAUGGAGGUCAAAUUCAUGCCGGGGGAAACAACUUCCCUCUUCGUGGGUGGAAGGAUUCCUUGUGGGAGGGAGGCGUGCAUGGAGUAGGGUUUGUUCACGGCGAGAUGUUGAAGAGGAAAGGGACGGUGUCACGAGACUUGAUUCACGUCUCUGAUUGGUUCCCAACUCUCAUUUCCAUGGUUGGAGGAACCUUGAACGGAACCAAACCAUUGGAUGGAAUGGACCAAUGGAAAACAAUAAGUGAAGGCUCAUCUCCUGGUCCAAGACAGUCCAUUCUUCACAACAUUGACCCUAUGUACCCGCCAGUGGGCCAGAGGGUGCCCAGCAGCCCAUUCGAUAACAGAAUACGGGCGGCGGUCAGAAUGGGCGACUGGAAACUGGUCACUGGAUUUCCAGGAAAUGGAAGUUGGGUUCCGCCUCCUCAUAUGGAUUCCAUAACUUUAUCUAAAGACUCAGCUUCUAAGAACAUCUGGCUCUUCAACAUAACGGAAGACCCUAACGAACACAAUGACGUAUCGGGCACCUAUCAGCACGUAGUUAUAAACAUGUUGGAGCUGUUAGCCCAAUACAAUAAAACAGCUGUACCUUGUCGAUAUCCGGCCAUGGACAGCAAAGCUAAUCCAAAGUAUCAUGGUGGAUAUUGGGGACCAUGGGAAUAAAAUUUAACGAGCAAAAGCCCACACCCAUAUUGGAGCCAUUUUGUUCGAAGAUUUCAUCACAUCCGAAACUCUUCACUUGACCUUGUGUCUUCUUCCUUUCUUUGGUUUCCAAAUGGGCUUAGUGUUCUGUUAUUUUAUUAUGCUGAGCGAUGGUUUGCGUAACUGUAAUGAUAUAAAUGCCCGAAUACUAAACGCUGUCAGUUUCUUCUAGAUUAGCAGUGUACAAACAUUUUGGAAGAACACUUGGCAUGCAAAAUACAUUUGUAGAAAAUUAAUUUAUAUAAGUUUAGAUUAAUAAAAUAUCAUUGAUG
rnacentral:misc_RNA from 1 species